rnacentral:snRNA from 1 species
GCUUGCCAGGCUCUGUCAUGCAGGCGGGAUACUCUCAGUAGCUUGCCAGGCUCUCCAAGAGAGACAGAGGAAUAGAACCUGGGUUGACUGCGUGCAAGGCAAAUGCCUACCCACUGUGCUAUCUGUCGAAGAGGAUGACCUUCUCCGAAUAGAGACGGAUCGGUCUUUGGUCAAGGGUAUAGGAGUAUUUGCGCUUCUCUGUUAGAACCUCCAAACAAGCUCUCAAUUGUAUAUAUAUAUGUAUAUAUAUAUAUAUAAAAUGAAAAAAAUUAUCAUCAUUUUAAGUAUAUCGGUUAGUGCAUUUUG